UCUUCAUUUACAGCGGGAAAUUACCGGCCGAAAAAAUUGACAGUCGAAAAUUAACGACCGAAAAAAUUAUGUACCGACCGUAUAGCAGUAGGUACUUCUUUUUUCAACUUUUAGAAUACGACUGAUCCUCCUAGUAUAAAAAAGAAAACCCUACAUUCUCUUCUUCUCUCCGCCUCCCUACAUUCUUUCUUCUCUUGUUCUCUCCGCCUCCCACUCCAUCCUCUCACAUCACAUUCUUUCUUCUCUUGUUCUCUCCGCCUCCCACUAUUUUCUCUCACCUCAUCUUCCUCUCGUUCUUUGACCUCUUUCACUUUCUCAUCUCCACUUAAUCUCAACUCGUGUUUUUCUUCUUGAAUUUGAUAACCAAAGAUCAAAUUCUAGAAAGAUUCAAAUAAAGAAUUGUUGUGGCAAAUUAGUCGGGCGAAGAUGAAAGGUGAAAAUCUGAAGGAAUCGAGCAAAAAUUUGAUAUGAGGAACUCAAGCAGUGAAGCAGCACCGAAUAUUUGAUGUGACGGGGUACUGUACUCAAGCAGCAGCAGCAACACGGAGGAACUCAAGGGAAAAUCAAUUUUUUUUAAAGAAAAUUUAGAUAAGUCUGACAUUUAUUAGUGUAUAUUGUUUGGUAGUUUUAUUAGAUUUUUAGAUCCUAAGUUAUUUUUUACGGAUUUUUCAUGAAAUACCCCCGAAUUUUGGCGUAAUUCACCAAAUGCCCCUCGACUUUCAGUAAUUCACCAAAUGCCCCUCACAAAUGACUUAAUACCCAAAAUACUCUUACUAAUGAUGCGCCGUUAGUCCUCCGUUAACCUAAUUUUCAAAUUCACCAAAUACCCCUAUUUUAAUACUUAUUUCACCAAAUACCCUUAUUCAGAAACUUAAUUCACCAAAUACCAAUAACUUAAAAUUACUCAUUUUGAUGCUCAACGGCUAGUUUUUGUGUUUGAAAAUUAGCCGUUGCUUAUUGUUUGCUUAUAAAUACUCUUUUUCUGACUGUUUAUUGUAGUUUUCCUAUUAUUUUGUUAAUUUCAUAUCAUUUUUGUCAUGAGUUUUCUUUCAAAAUCAUCAUCCACACCCAAUGAGUCCACAUAUGUAAGAGUCCCAAAUAAAUUUUGUUAUCAUGGGAGAAACUUUGACAUCCGAAUAUCUGAUACAACACUCAAUCUGAAGCUCCGGUACAACACUAAAAUAGAAAACACUCCUAAAAACACCUCAAAACGUCGCAACUCUUCAAGAAAAUAGCUACUUCUUUUGUACCUUAUUCUUUAUGUGACCAAUUAAUUAUAUUUACCACGCAAUCGGAAGGUAUUCCUUUUUCAAUAUGGGAAAUAUCUUUAACAUAUGCAAACAGAUUAAAAAUAAAGCUCUUAUUAAUUUUAUUCUAACGCAUAUGUUCCAGCUACCUUGGCUUCUAUUGCUUCCAUGCCACAUAUUUAACGUUAACUCCCUUUUGUCUCCUGUCUCUACUGCCUCUAAACAUCUUUCUUCAAUCUCCUAACUUUCUCUCAACCUUACAGUCGAGGCAUAAAGGUUUUCCCACUUUUCUUUUGAGUUAGGUCCUAUUGACAUGGUCAGAUUUAUGGACAAAUGUCUAUUUUUGGAUUUGAGGGAAGAAGAAAAAAAAUGAAACUAAGGUAUGUUCCAAAGCUCAUGAACCAAGGAAAAAACAUGAAUCUUGGCACAAAGAUUUGCCUCCAAACUCAAGAUUUUCACAUCAUGAAUCCAAGUUGAAAUCGAGGUUGUGAUAAAAAUGUAUGUGUUAUUGAACUUGAUUUCUUAGUUUCUUUACCAUUCGGACAAUAAGAAAAUUAAGGUGUUAGCUUUAGAUUGAAUUACUUCAGCUUCACUUACAUAAGAUCCCUUUGAAAAUGGGGUUUUUUGGCCUUUUGCUCAGCUAAAGUGCAUUGUCUUUACUGGAUGAGGCCUGAACUUAUUGGAUCAUAAUUGAAACUUACUGAGUGUUGUAUCGGAGCCUCGGAUGGAAAUUUCCUCCCAUAAUAUUAGAAAUUGUUUGGGACUCUUACAUAUGUGGAUUCAUGGGUGUGGAUGAUGAUUUUGAAAGAAAACUCAUGACAAAAAUGAUAUGAAAUUAACAAAACAAUAGAAAAACUACAAUAAAUAGUCAGAAAAGGGGUUUUUAUAAGCAAACAAUAAGCAACGGCUAAUUUUCAAACAUAAAACUAGCCGCUGAGCAUCAAAAUGGGUAAUUUUAAGUUAUGUGUAUUUGGUGAAUUAAGUUUCAGAAUAGGGGUAUUAUAUGAAAUAAGUAAUAAAAUAGGGGUAUUUGGUGAAUUUAAAAAUUAGGCUAACAGAGGACUAACGGCGCGUCAUUAGUAAGGGUAUUUUGGGUAUUAAGUCAUUUGUGAGGGGCAUUUGGUGAAUUUCUGAAAGUCGAGGGGCAUUUGGUGAAUUACGCCAUAAUUCGGGGGUAUUUCAUGAAAAAUCCGUAUUUUUUAUAUGAUAUACAUUGUAUUCUCAAUUUUAUCAUAUUAAUAAUACUGCAAAAGUUUAGUUUAUGUUAA